rnacentral:rRNA from 1 species
AAUCAACGCUGGCGGCGUGCCUAACACAUGCAAGUCGAACGAGAAAGUGGAGCAAUCCAUGAGUAAAGUGGCGCACGGGUGAGUAACACGUGACUAACCUACCCUUGAGUGGGGGAUAACCUAGGGAAACCUGGGCUAAUACCGCAUAAUACCUACGGGUCAAAGGAGCAAUUCGCUUUAGGAGGGGGUCGCGGCAGAUUAGUUAGUUGGCGGGGUAAUGGCCCACCAAGACGAUGAUCUGAUCCGGCCUGAGAGGGCGCACGGACACACUGGAACUGAAACACGGUCCAGACUCCUACGGGAGGCAGCAGUGGGGAAUUUUGCGCAAUGGGGGAAACCCUGACGCAGCAACGCCGCGUGGAGGAUGAAGACCCUUGGGUCGUAAACUCCUUUCGAUCGGGACGAUAAUGACGGUACGGAAGAAG